ACGAACGCUGGCGGCAUGCCUAACACAUGCCAGUCGCACGAGACCUUCGGGUCUAGUGGCGCACGGGUGCGUAACGCGUGGGAACCUGCCCUUAGGUUCGGAAUAACUCCCCGAAAGGGGUGCUAAUACCGGAUAAUGUCUUCGGACCAAAGAUUUAUCGCCUUUGGAUGGGCCCGCGUUGGAUUAGCUAGUUGGUAGGGUAAAAGCCUACCAAGGCGACGAUCCAUAGCUGGUCUGAGAGGAUGAUCAGCCACACUGGGACUGAGACACGGCCCAGACUCCUACGGGAGGCAGCAGUGGGGAAUAUUGGACAAUGGGCGAAAGCCUGAUCCAGCAAUGCCGCGUGAGUGAUGAAGGCCUUAGGGUUGUAAAGCUCUUUUACCCGGGAUGAUAAUGACAGUACCGGGAGAAUAAGCUCCGGCUAACUCCGU
rnacentral:rRNA from 1 species